UGAUUCCGAGAAGUUGAUAAAUGUGUUAUUUGAGCUUGCAAGACGCCAUGCCCCCUCAACCAUAUUUCUUGAUAAAAUUGAUGAAAUCAUUAGUCAACGCGGUGAAGCACGCAGUGAACAUGAAGCAAGUAGAUGACUAAGAACUGAACUACUCAUACAGUUAUUAUGCUAUUCAUGCUGCUGAACUCUCCUCAGAUGACACAUUAUUUUAUUGUAAUUACGGCUUGCACUGUGCUUGCUGUUUUUGCAAUGGCUACAAGCCUGAGGAUGUACACAGCUUGCCAGCAUCUUCAAGCUCAGGCCAGGGCUCAUGCAGCAGCAACAACUGGAUGGCUUAACCAUACCGAAUUAUGGCUUCAUGUGCCACCAUCCAUAGAGUUUGUUCUAUAUGAAUUUCCAAAUAUAUGAAGAGAUUACAAGCACAAAGGAUUUUUCUAUACACACUAAGUUUAAUGGUAAUAAUUAUACUUGAUUCUUAAAGUUGAACUAUACGCUAUGAGUUCUUGUUUUUUUAUGUAGAUUUCUUAUGAGGAGAGAAGAAUAGUAGUUGAUUUUGAUUUUA